AUGUUCUCUACAUCUCUACUGCUCCUGCUGGCAGCUGCUUCUUAUGUGCAUGGUGAGGAACUGACUCAGCCUGCUUCCAUGACAGUCCAGCCAGGCCAGAGUCUCUCCAUCCAGUGCAAGGUUUCAUAUUCAGUUACGAGCCAUUAUACAGCUUGGAUUCGACAACCUGCAGGAAAAGCUCUGGAGUGGGUCACACUUAUGGGUUAUAAUGGUAACACUUACUACAGUGAGAAACUGAAAAGCAGGUUUCAGGUUUCCAGAGACACGUCCAGCAGCACAGUGACAUUAACAGGACAGAACAUGCAGACUGAAGACACAGCUGUGUAUUACUGCGCUCGUGAUCCACAGUGA